rnacentral:rRNA from 1 species
UACAGAGGGGGCAAGCGUUAUUCGGAAUUAUUGGGCGUAAAGGGCGCGUAGGCGGCUUUGCAAGUGACGAGUGAAAGCCCUCGGCUUAACCGGGGAACUGCAUCUGAUACUGGAUGGCUUGAGUUCGGGAGAGGGAUGCGGAAUUCCAGGUGUAGCGGUGAAAUGCGUAGAUAUGUGGAAGAACACCGGUGGCGAAGGCGGUUUUCUAUUUUAUACCUGACGCUGAGGCGCGAAAGCAAGGGGAUCAAACAGG